rnacentral:rRNA from 1 species
GACAGAGGGUGCGAACGUUGUUCGGAAUUACUGGGCGUAAAGCGGGUGUAGGCGGUUCUUUAAGUCAGAUGUGAAAUCCUGCGGCUCAACUGCGGAACUGCAUCUGAUACUGGGGAACUUGAGGACGGUAGAGGUCGGUGGAAUCCCCGGUGUACCGGUGAAAUGGGCAGAUAUCGGGGGGAACACCAGUGGCGAAGGCGGCCGACUGGGCCGAUCCUGACGCUGAGACCCGAAAGCCAGGGUAGCGAACCGG